rnacentral:rRNA from 1 species
UGGGGAAUUUUGCGCAAUGGGCGAAAGCCUGACGCAGCAACGCCGCGUGAGUGAUGAAGGCCUUUGGGUCGUAAAGCUCUGUCAGUGGGAACGAAGUGUCGGGGGUUAAUAGCCUGCCGAUUUGACGGUACCCACAAAGGAAGCACCGGCUAACUCCGUGCCAGCAGCCGCGGUAAUACGGAGGGUGCAAGCGUUGUUCGGAUUUAUUGGGCGUAAAGGGCGUGUAGGCGGUUUCUUAAGUCUGAUGUGAAAGCCCCGGGCUCAACCUGGGAAGUGCAUUGGAAACUGGGAGACUUGAGUACGGGAGAGGGCAGUGGAAUUCCUAGUGUAGGAGUGAAAUCCGUAGAUAUUAGGAGGAACACCGGUGGCGAAGGCGGCUGCCUGGACCGAUACUGACGCUGAGACGCGAAAGCGUGGGGAGCAAACA